UAACAAAGCAAAGCAACAGCGCUCUCACAGUUCCGGACGCAGUAAAAAGUUCUUUGUCUGCGCAACGCGAGCAGAGGCAGCGGUAGCGGCAGCGGACUGCGACGUCGGUCUACGCUGCAUGCGUUCCCCGUUCGUUGUACACAAUUCGCAGUUGUGUGUUGUUUUGUUGACAGUCACAGCAGAGUAAGAGCGCAGUAAGCAGCGCGUUGACAUCGCGAGAUAGAGUCGAGAGCCAGGCAGGCAGCAAGAAGUUGACUGCGACGUCAGCAGUGACUGCGCUGACUCGCUGUAAUAGUUGGAGUUGGUGUGUGCAAAAUACAUAAACACAUACACACAUCCACACACAUGGUAUAGUGAUGUAUGCGUGUGAGAAAUGCAAGUGCAGCUAAACAAAGCAACAGCUUACCACGCGCCAUAACAACAACAAGAGCCAAACAGUCAGUCAAACUGAGCGUUGCAACGCGGACGUCCCACAGCACACAAAAACACAAAACAAAAAAGGAAAGCUGCUGCUUUGGCUGCUGGUGACAUGACAAGAGAAGGAUAACGACGACGAAGGAGUUCACUAAAUCUACAAAACAAAAUUUGUUCUUGUGCUGUUUCGGAAACAAAACAAAAGAGUAAAAAUGUCAUCGUCGGCGAAUGUGAAUAAUAAUCAACAACAACAACAGCAACAACAACCACAACAACAAAAAGAGAGUCCAAGUCGCGACUCAACCGCAUCGACAUCGGGACACAUCUCGAUGAUGGCGGAGAAUACGCUUGAAUCGCUGUCGCGUGAUUACAGUUUGGCCAGCCUCAAUUCGGCUGGCAGCCAGGACGAGUUCUUUCGGUGUCGCGAUCAUGCGGACAGCGUUCUCAAGCGCAUGCAACUCUAUGUUGACAGCCAGCAGCUGUGCGAUGUGGUGCUCAUCGCUGGCACCGAUGGCAAGCGUGUGCCCGCUCAUCGAUUGGUGCUAUCUGCGUCUAGCGCAUACUUUUCGGCCAUGUUCACGGGAUCGCUGCGCGAGACGAAGGAACAUGAGGUGACGCUGGGCGAGGUGAACGGAGAUGCGCUGCAGCUGCUGGUGCAGUAUUGCUACACAGGAUUCAUUGAGUUGCGCGAGGACACGGUGGAGACGCUGCUCGCCACCGCGUGUCUGUUGCAGCUGAAUGCUGUGGUCACCGCAUGCUGCAACUUCUUGGCCCGCCAAUUGCAUCCGUCGAAUUGUUUGGGCUUUGCAUUCUUUGCGGAACAACAGAGCUGCACGACACUGUUGCGUUUGGCCCAGGCGUAUACGUGUCAGUAUUUCAUGCAAGUGUGCCAGAAUCAGGAGUUCUUUCAGCUGAAUGCCGAUCAAUUGGGCAAGCUGCUGUGCAGCGAUGAUCUCAACGUACCCUCCGAACAGGAUGUCUUCCACAGUCUGAUGUCAUGGGUGCGUCACGAUGCCCCCAAUCGGGAGCAGCACAUUGCCGAGCUGUUGGCCCUCGUUCGUCUGCCGUUGCUGCAACCCGCCUUCAUCAUGGAUCAUGUGGAGAACGUGUGCAGCUCGAACGAGUGCCAGCAACUGGUGAUGGAGGCCUUCAAAUGGCAUCUGAUGCCUGAGCGUCGAUCGAGAACCGAACGCACAACGCCACGCAAAUCGACUGUGGGACGUCUGUUGGCCGUCGGUGGGAUGGAUGUGCACAAGGGGGCCAUUAGCAUUGAGAGCUAUUGUCCGCGACUCGACAAAUGGACGCCCUGGAAGCAUAUGACCGGACGUCGUUUGCAAUUCGGUGCCGCUGUCAUGGAGGAUAAAUUGAUAUUGGUCGGUGGUCGGGAUGGGCUCAAAACGUUGAAUACGGUGGAGAGCUUGGACUUGAAUACGAUGGCAUGGGCACCCCUGAAUCCGAUGGCAACGCCACGACAUGGUCUCGGUGUUGCGGUGCUUGAGGGACCUCUGUAUGCGGUCGGUGGACACGAUGGCUGGAGUUACCUGAACACAGUGGAACGCUGGGAUCCUGUGACACGCAGCUGGAGCUAUGUGGCACCCAUGUCAUCGAUGCGUUCCACAGCUGGCGUUGCGGUGCUCGGCGGUCGUCUCUAUGCGGUGGGCGGACGCGAUGGCACCGUCUGUCAUCGUUCCAUCGAGUGCUACGAUCCGCAUACCAACAAAUGGACUCUCCUCGCUCCAAUGAAUCAACGUCGCGGCGGCGUUGGCGUGACUGUGGCAAAUGGUUUUCUUUAUGCCUUGGGCGGUCAUGAUUGUCCGGCCAGCAAUCCGAUGGUGAGUCGCACCGAAACUGUUGAACGCUAUGAUCCAGUCAGCGAUACUUGGACAUUGAUCUGUUCGCUGUCAUUGGGACGUGAUGCAAUUGGUUGUGCUCUGUUGGGUGAUCGCUUGAUUGUCGUCGGCGGGUACGAUGGCAAGAACGCGUUGAAGAAUGUCGAGGAAUACGAUCCGGUGCGGAAUGGAUGGAAUGAAUUGGCGCCCAUGUCACUGCCCCGAGCUGGCGCAUGUGUUGUUGCCAUACCGAAUGUUAUUCCGCCAGCGGCUCCACAGCCGCCGGCCAGUGCUACAGUUUAGUUCACACUUCCAAUUAUCAUUGUUGUUGAUGUUGAUGUUGUUGCUGUUGUUGCGUGUUGCUGUGUUGUUGUAGUUGUGUAUGAGCUGUUGUACUGCCAAAAAAAUGCACUAUGACCACUGCUGCUGCUGCUGCUACUACUACUACUACUACUACUACUACUAUAUUCCUAUUUACCCAAUUACUACAUACUCCUAUUACCUAUCGAUCGACAUACGAGAGACAUGCCAACAUAACAUAACACAACAAACAAACAAACAAACAUAUCAAGCCAAUUUUGCGAAAUUAUCGAUUACGUUAGCGAUGACAAAUUCUUAACAUAAAUUUGAUUUGAUUCUGCUUAACAUACACGAUAGUUUCAUCAAAAAUGGUUCGAUCCUUUGGCCUGGUCUGGCAUUUGUUGAAAAAGAAGAAGUGGAAGCCAGUUAGAUUGGAUCCAAUCUGCUAUUUGCGCCGUAGAUCCGUCGAAUUUGUCGACUACUAUCAUAUGUAAUUGUGAAAUAAAAAAUCAAAAAACAAAA